AUUGACCUCGGAUCAGGUAGGGAUACCCGCUGAACUUAAGCAUAUCAAUAAGCGGAGGAAAAGAAACCAACAGGGAUUGCCUCAGUAACGGCGAGUGAAGCGGCAACAGCUCAGAGUUGAAAUCUGGCCCUUUCGGGGUCCGAGUUGUAAUCUGUAGAGAGUGUUUCGGGCGAGGCCACGGUCUAAGUUCGUUGGAACACGGCGUCAUAGAGGGUGAGAAUCCCGUAUGCGACCGUGGCUCGAGCCCAUGUGAAGCCUCUUCGACGAGUCGAGUUGUUUGGGAAUGCAGCUCAAAAUGGGUGGUAAAUUUCAUCUAAAGCUAAAUACGGGCUGGAGACCGAUAGCGCACAAGUAGAGUGAUCGAAAGAUGAAAAGCACUUUGGAAAGAGAGUGAAACAGUACGUGAAAUUGUUGAAA
rnacentral:rRNA from 1 species